ensembl:lncRNA
CUAUAUGUGUAGAGACUAGUUUAAAAUAUCAUGCUAAUUAAACAACUUUUACCAAUCUUGGCAUGAUUACCAUCUUUCACCUAAAGUCUUACUGACCUCAGGGGAAAAAAAUCAAGCAAUCAGCAGUGCUGUAAAUUCUUGGCAGGAGCUGAUGAGACUGAAACCUAUACUGUGAGGUUCACCAAACACGCCUGACUGAGGGGGAUUUGCUGCGUGGAUGCACGACAAUUCUGCCAGAAUCUAGUUUCCUGUGUUCAAUCUCCGGCACUGUGCAUUAUAAUUAAGGAGUCCUCCGGCCUCUCCCAAGAGAGGAAGCGGAGGAAGAGGACCAUCCUGGCCGCUGUCACUCAUGACCUUCUAAUCUGCUUAUCAUUCUAAGCCCAGGACGGAAAGAGGCGCAGCACCUUCUCGGAGCAAAAACAGUCACCACAGAAUUUCACGGGCUGAAACCAAGAUGCACAGCACAGGAAGGAAAUCCAAGCUGCCACCAUCGGAAAACAAAAGCCUAUGUCAGAAAUAUUUACCUUUGGCCUUGAUCUCUCAUCCCAGACCUGCUGCUUAGACUUUUCACAAUUUAUGGAUCCUGACAUAUGGUGAUUCAUCUUGGUUUUGUCACUGCUAGCCACCACGCAGAAGGGUUGGCCUCCGAGAUGGGGGUGGGUGGCUAGGGAGAAGGGACACGUGUGCUCAGCAGCCACCCUUCGAAGUCCCAGGCCACAGUUUUCUCUUACGGAUGUUGCCCAGCCCAGGGUGGGCGGUUCAUCUGUGGCUUAUUUUCCGUUUGUUUUAGUCCCCCACCCAUUUAGUAAGUUGGUCUA